rnacentral:rRNA from 1 species
UACAGAGGAUGCAAGCGUUAUCCGGAAUGAUUGGGCGUAAAGCGUCCGCAGGUGGUUUUGUAAGUCUGCUGUUAAAGCGUUAGGCUCAACCUAAUAAGGGCAGUGGAAACUAUGAGACUAGAGUAUGUUAGGGGUAGAGGGAAUUCCCAGUGUAGCGGUGAAAUGCGUAGAGAUUGGGAAGAACACCGGUGGCGAAAGCGCUCUGCUAGGACAAUACUGACUCUGAAGGACGAAAGCUAGGGGAGCGAAUGGG